UCUCGACUAGUAUAUCGGUUUAGUACACGCGCCUGUCAUGUGCAAUGUGUGGUCGCGCGAAAGCUGGGUUCGACUCCCAGGUCGAGAG